rnacentral:tRNA from 1 species
GGGCCCGUGGUCUAGUGGCUAAGACGUCGCCUUGACGUGGCGAAGAUCGCAGGUUCGAUUCCUGCCGGGCCCA